GCCAGUGUGGUGUAGUGUUUUGAGUGCUGAACUAUGACUCUAGAGAUCAGGGUUUGAUUCCCAGCUCAAGCA
rnacentral:tRNA from 1 species